rnacentral:lncRNA from 1 species
GAUAUCAAUAAGAAAUUCAUCUCCCAUUCUCUCAUUCUCUUCUAUACAUUGCUAAUAUGUUCUAGUUAUUACACAACACGUUAUCAGCACGAAAGUGCUCGAAUCAUCAUUGGUUUUAAUCGUUGAUUAAAGUCUCGAUUGACCCAUGUCGUUGAUGAUGUUUUGUUGAUAAAAGUUUUGGUGGCCCUAGGUGUUUCCAACGAAUAUUGGAUUUCGUAGACAUGGCGAUUGAAAAGUGAUGGAGAUACUAUUUCCUUUAGUUAUUUCAAGGGACCAUUGUUGGGCACAAUGUGAAAUAUAGUGAGAGGCAUACGUAGUCGAGACGGAAUUCGUCGAUUGAUUAUAUCAAUUCAAAACCAACUGCUUAUCACAAAUACUCCCCAUUACAACUGGUCUCCUGAAGAGAACCAAGUUUCCAUUUUUUUUAUAUAUUUUGUUGUGCAGCCUAUGUACCAAUAGCACCACCAUAACAUAUAAAAUGGGAUAUAUACAUCGUAUUCCCAGUCUUAGGGGGAGACAAGAAAAUGAAAGACUGGUAACAUAAAAAAUGCAUCAUAUUAUAUAUCGACCCCUGAAGUGGUCAAUGCAAAUCUGAAGUCCAAAAGAAAGAGCGUGUAUUUCCAAAUAAUAACAAAUGAAAUACAAGAUGCAUUCACUGACACAAAUAAGGUGACAAAGUCACGUAUACCAGCUUAAGCUUAUCUGCUCGAAUGGAAGUACUAACAAAAUGAUUAUCAUAUUAAUAAAUUGUGAGAGAUAAAUCGGUUCCAAAAAGAUAAAACCCACAAACACAAAAAGAGCGGAGUAACGCAGUUGGUGUAACCCCAAAAGAGGUGGCACACAAAACACCAUAAGUGGUUGCAUACAAAACCCCAGAAGUGGUUGCAUACUAAACCUUAAAGAAGGUUGUUGUCAAAACCCCAAAAGAGGCUAAUGGAGUUCUAAAAGAAACUCUAGUACCAAACAAAUAUGAGAUCGCGAUGAAUUAUGUACAAAAUAAGUACAAUAUGGAACCGUAAUGAAACACGAUUAAAAUAAUAUAUUUGAUUAUGCUAUAGCAAUAGAUGUAAUCGAUGAAAAAAAAGGAUUACAUAUAUAGAAAGUGUGCAAGAGUGUACGCACACAAAUAGCCAAAAUGGCUACAUGACUUAAGGUUGAACUAAAUUUGCUCGACAAACUAAACGUUUUCGAACCAGCAGUUCGAACACCCAUAGACGUCAAACCAGUAGGUUAUAAAUGGGUGCCUUUAAAUAAAAGGAAACGUAAAUAAUGAGUUUUUGCGAUGUAAGGAACGCAUUUUAACAUAAAGAUUUUUCCCAAAUCCCAGCAGUUGAUUACGAGGAAACGUAUACCCCUGUAGUGGAUGCGAUAAUCUUUAGAUUUUAAGCGGCCUCACAAUCUCAGAAUGACUUCAGAUAAAACAACUUAUGGAUGUCAUCACCGUAUACAUGUACGAGACAAUUGCAGAUGACAUCUGUAUGAAAACCCCUGAAGGAUUAAAAAUGCUCAAAGCAUUAUGAAACAAUAACCCCAUAUGUGUUAUAUAUAUGAAUCUUAAAGGAAACUACUCGUAUGUGGUACAGUCGACUAUACUCUGAAAAGAGAUGUAUAAUUUUGAUAAAAUGAGCUACAUCUAUUUAACAAGAUUUCACUUUUACAGUGAUGAUGUAAACAUCAUCGAGAGGGAACUCUCAAACUAAAGAGGAAAAUUUCGAAUGACCUUUACAAAGUGUAGUUAUCCUCGACCUGUAGUUUCGAGUAUAUAUGUACUAUUUUUGCUCAUCAAUCUGACUACAUCUAGAAGAUGUUAUAUAGAAAAAGCUCAUUCGUUGAGUACAUGAACGAUUGUCUGAUCGCUUGACAUAGAAAACAUAUUCUUAUCAACCCCAAGAAAAGGAUGUUGAACUGCUUAGUCAAGAAGUACCAUACUUAAUUGCGAUCAGAGCAUUGACGUAUCUUGCAAACAAGACGACAUCUGAUAUUACGUUGUAUUGGUUUUCAACGUGGCAGAAUUAUAAAGCGCAUUAAAUAAUUAUUUGACAUAUUUACAAACUCGAGACACGGGAUAGUUCCACAAGAACAAUAUGGCGUCCUGGGUUAUGAUUGAUAUAUAUUAGACUCGCAUAGAGUUCGAUCUCAAUCCAGAUACAAGUUAUGAAGGUCGAAGAUUUCAUCAUAUUUAAGAAGUAUGUAGAUUAGAGUUGAUCAAGAGAAGCUCAAGCUAUACUGUAUGAAGACAAUGUAAGACAACAACACCCAAAUCAAAGAAGACUACGUCAAAUAUCAAGUCAAGCAAUUGUCACAGAAGAUUGGAUUCAACAUCAUCAAGAUAUACAAGUAAAAUUGAGAGGGAGUAACGUACCCAUAAUAUACACAGUGUAUGUACUCUUUUUCCUUAAUGAGGCAAUAUACCUGAUCCAGAAGUAUCAGGGGGAGACAAUACGCGAUGCACUCUUUUUCCCUUAGCUGAGGUUUUGUCCCACUGGGGUUUCAUAGCAAGGUUUUUAAUGAGGCAGCAUCACCAAGCGUAUUAAAGAAUAGUAUAUCAUCAUGUGGAUAGUCAAGAGGGAGUGUUAUGAAUGCAUCCAUUAUUAGUGACUAUCCACAUUUCUAACUCCCAUGUCAUAUUUAUGUUUGUAUUAAUGUUAUAGCCUAUAUAUAGUGGCU